CACAUUUUAAAAAGUGCAAGAGAGGGGUGAGGGAGCAGAAUGUGACAUAACAGGCAGGGGACACACGGGACUGACCCACCGCUCAGUGUUGCUGGGACAGGAGGAGGAGACAUCCAGAUGAAAUAACAUAGCUCAAAACCCGACUACUCCUGUUACUGGUGGCCUGGAGGUUGACGCACUUUGAUGACUUGAUAUAAAAGAAGCCCCUCUAAAGCUAUUCUACUGUGACUUGUUCCUGCCACAUGGGUAGCAUUCCAGAUAUGCUUCUCAACAGCCUUUGGUCAGCUCAGCCAGAGAUAGCAGUGCAGCCAGUAGCGGACAAUGCUGUUUCCACCAGAAGCCAAUGUUGGAGCUUUUCAUCAACAUCUUGACACACUCACAAGUCAGAAGUCUAAUUUACAUUUGACCACAUUUUGGCCACUGAGCUAAUUAAAGAUUUAAAUCGGUUCGGAUGGCGAACAGAAAAUCAAUAGUUCUUCUCUUUAGACAAUUGCGUGGAGUUAUCAGUGGAAAAGUUCAGCACAUAAGUUGGUUUAAGAGGCUGUUCCAGGCCUGAAACCUACAGUAUAUUACUCGCUCCAUUAGAAAAUUGCUUCACCUCUCCCUUUGACUUUCCCACUAUACAUUCACUCUGCAUGACACAGUAGAAAUGAUGAGAGAGGUAAUUUAUAUCCACUUUCCUUCAUUUUAAUUGUGGGUGAAUUUGUUUAUAAUGACAACAUCUCUGUAAUUAUGGCAUC